rnacentral:rRNA from 1 species
AAUGAACGCUGGCGGCAGGCCUAAAACAUGCAAGUCGAACGCUGUAGCAAUACAGAGUGGCGCACGGGUGAGUAACAUGUGGGAAUAUGCCUUUUGGUACGGAACAACGUCUGCAAACGAACGCUAAUACCGUAUGGUCCCUUCGGGGUAAAGAUUUAUCGCCAAAAGAUUAGCCCGCACUAGAUUAGCUAGUUGGUGAGGUAAUGGCUCACCAAGGCGACGAUCUAUAGCUGUUCUGAGAGGAAGAUCAGCCACACUGGGACUGAGACACGGCCCAGACUCCUACGGGAGGCAGCAGUUAGGAAUAUUGGACAAUGGGCGCAAGCCUGAUCCAGCCAUGCCGCGUGAGUGAUGAAGGCCUUCGGGUUGUAAAGCUCUUAGUCCGAUGAUUAUAAUAG